UGCACAAAUUAUGGGGAGGCACAGAACUGGGGGCUGAAGACGAGAUAUAUGAAAUAUUUCAUAUAUGAUAUAACGACUGGAAAUUCCGAAUGGGAUUUGAGGUACAGAAAAGGUGGGGAAAAGAAAAUGUAAUAGGCUGGGAGUUCCCAUUGUGGCUCAGUGGUUAACGAAUCCGACGAGGAACCAUGAGGUUGUGGGUUUGAUCCCUGGCCUCACUCAGUGGGUUACAGGUCUGGCUUUGCCAUGAGCUAUGGUGUAGAUCGCAGACACGGCUUCAGAUCCCACAUUGCUGUGGUUCUGGCUUAGGCUGGAGGCUACAGCUCCCAUUCGACCCUAGCCUGGGAACCUCCACUGGUGUGGCCCUAAAAGACAAAAAGACAAAAAGACAAAAAAAAAAAAAAAAAAAAAAAAAAAGAAAGAAAGAAAGAAAAUGCAGGAGGAACAUUCAUUCCAGGUAGAAGGAGCUUGGGAUGCAAAAUGAAGGCGGGUGAAAAACAUCUCUAUUGGCUUAUUAGCUAUACUUUUACUUUGUUUUAUGUUAUAAUUGUUGCUAUAGCUACCAAAAAAACGUGGAAGGAAGAAAAAUUUCUAAAAUGUGUGUGUGUGUAUGUGUGUGUGUAUGUGUGACAGAUAGGGACAGUACCUGCCAUCAUUGCAUUCCUUUUCCCUGUUACUCAGGCAGGAAAGACUAUGUUUAGACUCUGGGUGAUUGGCUCUAGGACCGCUGUGCCAACCCUCCAAUAUAUACUGUGCUUUGCCAUACCCUGGAUAGCUGUUAAUGCGAUGCUACCCCUUUGGACAAUUAAUAUGUGAAAUGUCUUUAUACUUUCUAAACUAGUGAUUUGUUAUUGUUGUUGUUGCAUUGAAUAGAAUUUACUCAUUUACCACCAGCAGCAAAGGGACACAGUGGCAUAAGUAAUCCUUUAAGAGCAGGAAACUGGUGAUUCUUAUUUCAGUAGAGUGAAGAAUCUUCCCUCAAGGAACGAAUAAACAAAUAACGCCCCCCCCCCCCAAUCAUACGAUAGACACAAAAAUAAAUUUUACAUACAGUUUCAGAGAAUUGAGGAACCUUCUGAAAUUCAUGGACAUAGGGUUAAAAAUGAGACACCUGGAGAUUCAGUUAGGUGGGUCUUGGAUUAAGAAAUAUUUAUGUUAAGUGUGCCUUUGAGGCUACAACAAACUCUUGAAGUAGCACCUGGAGACUAACCAGGACUGAUUGCUUUGUUAUUUUCCCCUUUGUCUUCACAUAUUUGGUCCUCCCAGAUCAUCGCAACUUGCCUUUGGAGACUAAUAUUCCAUAGAAAACAGCCUCUUCAUAUCAGCAUGUACAAAGGAGUUUCAUAGAAGCUGUUUUUUUUGUUGUUGUUAUGCAGGUGCAUGUCUCAUGAUGAGAUGUAAGACAAAAAAAGAAAGUAUUUACUAUGCCAGAGAAUAGUCUAAAACAUAUUGUCAGAUUAUCACAUUAGGAAAAGGAGAUGGAAGAGUGAUAAUUAAUGUUUAUGUUCAGUGAUAGUUUGUGCGUGUUGAAUUUUAUAGGUAUUCAGAAAUGACUUAUAGAACUUACUGAGUUUUGGCCAUUAAAGUUUCUUAAUUUCUGUGCAUUUGUUAUGUUUUGCUAUCAUAUUUUUACAUUAUGUGAAAUCAUUGAUUUUUCUCAGCAGAUCUAAGGAGAAAUUAAAUCCCUGCUCAGAUGUGAGAGCUUCAGUCUUUUGACAUAAGUGGUACCUUAAAUGCUGUGGAACAAACCACGGAAAAUUAGGGUCUCAAUGGCAAUCAAGUCAUGUUUUAAGAGAACAACAUUUUAUCUGCCCCUGGUUGUAUUCACCUCACUGAAUAUUAGUAACUUUUCUACAUUAACUUGAGAAGCUUGAGCUUAUAGAAUGAGCUUUAAAAAUUAAUCUAUCACAGUGACUGAUAUAUUAUGACAUAUUUGUAAAACUGUCCUUAAAAAAAUAAAACUGACAAUACCAAGUGCUGACAAGGUCAAAGAAGUUGGAAUUCUAAUACAUUAUUGGUGCGAUUAUAAAGUGGUAUGGCUACUUUGGAAGACAGUUUGACAUUUUCAUAUAAAGUUGCACAUGCACGUAACCAUUUGAGCCAGCAACUUUAUUUCUAUUUUAUCCAAGUAAAAAAGAAACCUCAAGAAUGAAUAAAUGAAUGAAUACAUAAAUGAAUAAGAAAUCUAUGUUCAUGUAAAAAACAAAUGCAGAUAUUCAUGUUAGCUUUGUCUAUAAUUGCCUAAACCUGGAAGCAAUCCAAAUGGUCCUCAACUGGAGAAGAGAUCCAUGUACUGUGUGUUCUAAACCCAUACAAUGGAAUAUUACUCAGCAAUAAAAUGGAAGGAACAACUGAUACUUCCAAAAAUAAGGUUGAUUUUCAGGUGCAUUAUGCUAAAUUUAAAAAGUCAGACUCAGAAUAUUAUAUGUGACUGAUUCUGUUUUUAUGAUAUUCUUUCAAGUCAAAACUAUAGAAAUAGAAACACAUCAUUGGUUAUAGAUGCUGUGUGGGGAGGGUUGACUACAAAGAGGCAGAGGGGAUGUUUUGAAGUAAUGGAACUAUUCCAUACCUUUAUUUUUCAAAGUAUGUAGAACUAUACUUUAAAAAGUGUAACUUUCAACAUAUCUAAAUUAUAUUUAAAUAAUGACCAAUCAUCUGUAUCACUAUCACAUAGCAAAGAUUUUAUCCUGACUCUAUGCUCUGAAAGAGAAAAGAAGAGACAAGGAGAAGAGGAGAGAAUUUUUCAAAGCUCCAUCUCUGGUCAUAGAGACAAUGUUUCUUACAGCUAGUUAGAUACACAUAAAUUUUAAUUCGGUUUUCAAAAAAUAAUGGAGAACAUUAAUGCUAAGAAUGUAAUUUUGAAAUUUUACAGCAUCUAUAUUUUUAUUAAUUGCUUAAUAUGGAAAAAUCACAUGUUUAAUGAAAUGUAUUUGCACAUCUUUUAAGCUGGUUUUUCAAACUGUAAAGAACAGAGUACAGAGGUCAAUAUCAAAUUAGCUGUAACCUUGGAAUGAGCCUUCAAGAAAUUUUACUCUCAGUUUUUGUGAGGCUCUAGGAUACUCUGCAGCAUUCAUUGUAACCUUAUGCAGUGGCUGAAGAGUAGUUGUUUUCUUAAUUUUAUAGCUUAAGAACCCAAAGACCCUGGAGUUUAAGUAACUGGCUCAAGACUAUAAAACUAUGAAAAUAAGAAAAUAUGUGAAAAGUCCAGAUGUUCUCUAUCCAAAUCCCAUGUUUUUCCCACUUUACAAAUUCUCUUCUUGUUAGAUAUUAACUUUAGACAGACAAAAUUCAAAUAUACCUGGUUUAAAUUUUUGAAAAUAUUUUUUCUUUAAAUAUCUUUAUCAAUUGUUUUUCCAUCCUCCCCUAUGAUACAGGAAAUUCCAGUACCUAAAUACUUACCCAGUCAUCAACAUUGAUUAUAUUACUUACAGGGAUAGAUUUCUUUGCAUUUAUUGUCUUUUCCCUCAAAAUAUCAACAUGGUUUAUUUUGUAACAUUUUAAAAUCUUUUAUUCAUAUUCCACUCUAUUCCUUUCAACAGCUAUUUUAUAUUUUCACUACUCAUCUAAAGUCUUCUAACAUAACUUCUACCUCUAGUCUCUUACCUCUUGAUGUUGCCUUUGAUUUCUUAAUAAAAUGAGACUGUUAAACUGAAACUCUUCACAUGCAUGGCUUUUCCCCAUUCAUACUUUUCUAUCCAUAACCAUUUCUUCCCUGCUGGUUAGAAGAGUUUUCAUUCUGUGCCCAAGACCAGUCAUUCCAAUGGAUUUCUUGAUGCUCAUCUUCCUGGGUACAUUGCUCCAUCAAUGAUACCUUCUCUGUAUCACAUUUAAACUUUUCUCUUUCUUUUUGGGCUAAAAUCAUGCUCAAGAAUCUCUGCCGUUAAUAUGAAGAAAAAAGAAUCCCACCAAGAAAAAAAAAAAAAAAAAGCAAAACAGGACAAAAUCUUUGUUUUCUUCUCUCUCUUUCCACUCAUAUCUCUGUCCUUCUUACCAACUAAGCCCCUCUAGUCCAGUUUUCAAUCUUGUCAGCAUAUUACUACAAUAUGGGUAUUUAAAUUUUUUUAAAAUUUAUCUGUUCUUUUCUCUCCUAUAUUUCCCUCAUGGCAUGGUUUUCUGUAGUAAGCUCUGGUUAUUUAUUGAUACAAAAUUUAUAAUAAAAAUUAGGUUUAAAAUAAUACUUUCAUUGAAUUAUAUUGCCAUAUUGGAGAUAGAAUAAAUUUUUGUAAAGUAACUUUUUUUAAAAUAAAUUCUUAUGAAUUUAGGGCCCAAUUCCCUUCUUCUCUAUGUUACAUGUAUUGUGGUGAUGAGCCUUAUAUGGUGUUAGUGUGGUGUUAGUGUUUCAUGUGAAUUCUUCGAGGACCCUGCUUGCUUAUAUUUCACAGAACAAAAUGCCAGAUACCUGCUCUUCCCUAGAUGAUCCAUUUCUACCAGGAAUCAGUGCCCACCAUGUCCUUUAGCCUUGAAGGCUACAAGAACAACAGCAGGCCCAACAUUCUAGUACUGAGAAUGAAGUGCUGUGAACAUCAAGUUAGAGUUUGCCCCAAUUUCUUAAUAUUUUCAAUUAGAAAAUUACAGAGAGUAUAGCAAGAAGACAACUGA
rnacentral:lncRNA from 1 species